rnacentral:rRNA from 1 species
UUGGCUCAGAAAGAACGCUGGCGGCAGGCUUAACACAUGCAAGUCGAGCGGAUGAAGGUAGCUUGCUACCGGAUUCAGCGGCGGACGGGUGAGUAAUGCUUAGGAAUCUGCCUAUUAGUGGGGGACAACGUUCCGAAAGGGGCGCUAAUACCGCAUACGUCCUACGGGAGAAAGCAGGGGACCUUCGGGCCUUGCGCUAAUAGAUGAGCCUAAGUCGGAUUAGCUAGUUGGUAGGGUAAAGGCCUACCAAGGCGACGAUCUGUAGCGGGUCUGAGAGGAUGAUCCGCCACACUGGGACUGAGACACGGCCCAGACUCCUACGGGAGG